AUACUUACCUGGCAGGGGAGAUACCAUGAUCACGAAGGUGGUUUUCCCAGGGCGAGGCUUAUCCAUUGCACUCCGGAUGUGCUGACCCCUGCGAUUUCCCCAAAUAUGGGAAACUCAAUUGCAUAAUUUGUGGUAGUGGGGGACUGCUUUCCCCUG
ensembl:snRNA U1 U1 spliceosomal RNA